GACGGGGGAUGCGAGCGUUAUCCGGAAUGAUUGGGCGUAAAGGGUCCGCAGGUGGCCCGGUCAGUCCGCUGUCAAAGCCUGGGGCUCAACCCUGGAGAGGCGGCGGGGACCACCGGGCUUGAGUCCGGUAGGGGCAGAGGGAAUUCCCGGUGGAGCGGUGAAAUGCGUAGAGAUCGGGAAGAACGCCAAGGGCGAAGGCACUCUGCUAGGCCUGAUUUCGCGACUGACACUCAGGGACGAGAGCCAGGGGAGCGAAUGGG
rnacentral:rRNA from 1 species